CUCUCUGUCUCUGUCUUUCAGUCAUGCUGCUGCUCAGGUCAAGGCUCUCGCAAAGAUCCACGCCUUCAUUCGAGAUCCGAACUUGAAUGAGACCCGGCAGGCAGAAAUCCGUAAGGAGUGUCUGAGACUCUGGGGGAUCCCAGACAAGGCUCGCGUUACCCCGAGUACCAUGGACCCCAAGAGCAAGUUCUCCGAACUGAUGCAGGGCACCGACAUGGAGACGUUUGGCUAUAAGCCCACCCUGCUGUCUGCACAGGUCAUUGAGAAGAUCAGCCAUGUGUUAGACUAUCGCUGUAUGGUGGCUGGGGGUCAGCAAUACUUCCUCCUUGGCAUGGGUGUAAGUUGCUGCGAGUCUCUGAAAGGUCAGCUGUACAGCAGCUGCUGGAGUUUCCACACCACUACAUUAGCGGCUCUCUGAAACAUUCUGGGGACACCUUAUUCUCUGGUGUUCCCUUCUGAAAGGAUCAGUGCUCAGGGACAACACCAGGAUUCUCGGUCUGUAGAAUGGUCUGCCAGGUUUGACUGAACGAUGCUGGCAACUGCAAGAUGAUGAGGUCACUGACUGUUGCAUCAUGGUACAUGGCACCAUUAACAACGCAGUCUGUUAGAUCUGCCCAAGUUCACAAUGCACAGAUCGGGUUUUAGUACUCGUCAGGCACAGCUCGGCUCGAGAGACAGGGGAGUCACUAUCAGCCGUUCGUCCAAAACUCAAACUGUCCCCCCGUCCCCCCCCGUUCCCCCCCC